UACGGAGGGUGCAAGCGUUAUCCGGAUUUACUGGGUUUAAAGGGUGUGUAGGCGGACUUUUAAGUCAGCGGUGAAAAUCUCCGGGCUCAACCCGGAAACUGCCAUUGAUACUAUUAGUCUUGAAUAUUGUUGAGGUAGGCGGAACGGGUCAUGUAGCGGUGAAAUGCAUAGAUAUGACCCGGAACACCGAUUGCGAAGGCAGCCUACUAAGCAAUUAUUGACGCUCAGGCACGAAAGCGUGGGGAGGCAAACAGG
rnacentral:rRNA from 1 species